UCAAGCCUACGGGGGGCAGCAGUGAGGAAUAUUGGUCAAUGGGCGGAAGCCUGAACCAGCCAAGUCGCGUGGGGGAAGAAGGCCCUGCGGGUCGCAGACCUCUUUGGACGGGGAGCAAGGCCGCCGACGUGUCGGCGGAAGGAGAGUACCCGUAGAACAAGCAUCGGCUAACUCCGUGCCAGCAGCCGCGGUAAUACGGAGGAUGCGAGCGUUAUCCGGAUUUAUUGGGUUUAAAGGGUGCGUAGGCGGUCCGGAAAGUCAGCGGUAAAAGCCCGGGGCUCAACCCCGGCGAGCCGUUGAAACUG
rnacentral:rRNA from 1 species